rnacentral:rRNA from 1 species
AUGAACGCUGGCGGCGUGCCUAAUACAUGCAAGUCGAGCGAACAGACGAGGAGCUUGCUCCUCUUACGUUAGCGGCGGACGGGUGAGUAACACGUUGAUAACCUACCUAUAAUACUGGGAUAACUUCGGGAAACCGGAGCUAAUACCGGAUAAUAUAUUGAACCGCAUGGUUCAAUAGUUAAAGACGGUUUUGCUUUCACUUAUAGAUUGAUCCGCGCCGCAUUAGCUAGUUGGUAAGGUAACGGCUUACAAAGGCAACGAUGCGUAGCCGACCUGAGAGGGGGAUCGGCAACACUGGAACUGAGACACGGUCCAGACUCCUACGGGAGGCAGCAGUAGGGAAUCUUCCGCAAUGGGCGAAAGCCUGACGGAGCAACGCCGCGUGAGUGAUGAAGGUCUUCGGAUCGUAAAACUCUGUUAUUAGGGAAGAACAAAUGUGUAAGUAACUAUGCACGUAUUGACGGUACCUAAUCAGAAAGCCACGGCUAACUACGUG